AACGAACGCUGGCGGCAUGCCUAACACAUGCAAGUCGAACGAGACCUUCGGGUCUAGUGGCGCACGGGUGCGUAACGCGUGGGAACCUGCCCUUAGGUUCGGAAUAACUCCCCGAAAGGGGUGCUAAUACCGGAUAAUGUCUUCUGACCAAAGAUUUAUCGCCUUUGUAUGGGCCCGCGUUGGAUUAGCUAGGUGGUAGCGUAAAAGCCUACCAAGGCGACGAUCGAUAGCUGGUCUGAGAGGAAGAGCAGCCACACUGGGACUGAGACACGGCCCAGAAUACUGGGGGAGGCAGCAGUGGGGAAUAUUGGCAUAUCGGCGAAAGCAUGAUGCAGCAAUGGCGGGUGAGUGAUGAAGUCCUGAGAGUUGUAAAGCUCUUUUACCCGCGAUGAUAAUGACAGUACCGAGAGAAUAAGCUCCGGCUAACUCCGUG
rnacentral:rRNA from 1 species